UACAGGGGGCUCGAGCGUUAGUCGGAAUCACUGGGCUUAAAGGGUGCGUAGGUGGCUCGCCAAGUGCUUUGUGAAAUCCCACAGCUCAACUGUGGAACAGCAGGGCAAACUGGCGGGCUUGAGGCAGGUGGGGGCCGGAAGAACAGUUGGUGGAGCGGUGAAAUGCGUAGAUAUCAACUGGAAUGCCGAUGGGGAAGCCGUCCGGCUGGGCCUGUCCUGACACUGAGGCACGAAAGCGUGGGGAGCGAUCCGG
rnacentral:rRNA from 1 species